UUUAUGCGAUACUUGGUGUGAAAUGCAGAAUCCCGUGAACCCUCGAGUUUUUGAACGCAARUUGCGCCCGAARCCUUUUGGCC
rnacentral:rRNA from 1 species